rnacentral:rRNA from 1 species
AGAGUUGGAUCCUGGCUCAGGAUGAACGCUAGCUACAGGCUUAACACAUGCAAGUCGAGGGGCAGCGGGAUUGAAGCUUGCUUCAAUUGCCGGCGACCGGCGCACGGGUGAGUAACGCGUAUCCAACCUUCCGUACACUCAGGGAUAGCCUUUCGAAAGAAAGAUUAAUACCUGAUGGUAUGAUGAGAUUGCAUGAUAGCAUCAUUAAAGAUUUAUCGGUGUACGAUGGGGAUGCGUUCCAUUAGGUAGUAGGCGGGGUAACGGCCCACCUAGCCAACGAUGGAUAGGGGUUCUGAGAGGAAGGUCCCCCACAUUGGAACUGAGACACGGUCCAAACUCCUACGGGAGGCAGCAGUGAGGAAUAUUGGUCAAUGGACGAGAGUCUGAACCAGCCAAGUAGCGUGAAGGAUGAAGGUCCUACGGAUUGUAAACUUCUUUUAUAAGGGAAUAAACCCUCCCACGUGUGGGAGCUUGUAUGUACCUUAUGAAUAAGCAUCGGCUAACUCCGUGCCAGCAGCCGCGGUAAUACGGAGGAUGCGAGCGUUAUCCGGAUUUAUUGGGUUUAAAGGGAGCGCAGACGGGUCGUUAAGUCAGCUGUGAAAGUUUGGGGCUCAACCUUAAAAUUGCAGUUGAUACUGGCGUCCUUGAGUGCGGUUGAGGUGUGCGGAAUUCGUGGUGUAGCGGUGAAAUGCUUAGAUAUCACGAAGAACUCCGAUUGCGAAGGCAGCACACUAAUCCGUAACUGACGUUCAUGCUCGAAAGUGUGGGUAUCAAACAGGAUUAGAUACCCUGGUAGUCCACACGGUAAACGAUGGAUACUCGCUGUUGGCGAUAUACUGUCAGC